rnacentral:misc_RNA from 1 species
AAGGAGCACCACGAAAAGCACUCCAAUUGGUGGGGUGCGAGCCGUGAGGGGUCCUCGUCUGUAGUGGACGAAGACCGGGUGCAUAACAGCAAAUGAUUGCCAGACACACUAUUGGGCCCUGAGACAACACUCGGUGAUCCGUGUGGAGUCCCUCCAUCUUGGUGGUGGGGUGUGGUGUUUGAGUAUUGGAUAGUGGUUGCGAGCAUCUAGAUGAACGCGUAAUCCUUCGUGGCUGACGUGUUCGUCGAAAUGUGUAAUUUCUUUUUUAGCUUUGUGUGU